UACAGAGACUGCAAGCGUUAUUCGGAUUCACUGGGCGUAAAGGGUGCGCAGGCGGUCGGGUGUGUCAGAUGUGAAAUCCCGAGGCUUAACCUCGGAACUGCGUCUGAAACUACUCGGCUAGAGUAUUGGAGAGGGUAGCGGAAUUCACGGUGUAGCAGUGAAAUGCGUAGAUAUCGUGAGGAACACCAGAGGCGAAGGCGGCUACCUGGACAAUUACUGACGCUCAGGCACGAAAGCGUGGGGAGCAAAAGGG
rnacentral:rRNA from 1 species